CGGAAUGUAGCUCAGUUUGGAUUAGAGCGCUGCAUUUGGGAUGCAGGGGUCGCAGGUUCAAGUCCUGUCAUUCCGACCA
rnacentral:tRNA from 2 species